rnacentral:rRNA from 1 species
AUGGCGAUCUUCGCUGGCCUUCUCACCUUCGUCUCCACCCUCCUCGCUCUCGCCCUCCGGCACCUCUUGCGCCUCCUGCGCAGCCGCGCGCCCGACCCCGCGGCCGCGGCGGGGUUCUUCCACCCGUACACCAACGACGGCGGUGGCGGGGAGCGCGUGCUCUGGUGCGCCGUGCGCGCCGUCCAGGACCUCUGCCCCGACCUCCCCUGCGCCGUCUUCACCGGCGACGCGGACGCGUCCCCCGAUGGACUCGCCGCCCGCGCGCUCGAUCGCUUCGGUGUCCGCCUCCUCCGCCCGCCGCAGGUCGUUUAUUUGAACAAGAGAAAGUGGAUCGAAGCAAGCACAUAUCCGCGCUUCACAAUGAUCGGGCAAAGUCUUGGCUCAGUAUAUCUCGCAUGGGAGGCUCUUAACAAAUUCACCCCGCAGUUUUACUUUGAUACAAGUGGCUAUGCUUUUACGUAUCCACUGGCUUGGCUGUUUGGUUGCAAGGUCCUCUGCUACACUCAUUAUCCCACGAUCAGUUCUGAUAUGGCCGAACGUGUUAAGCAGCGCAAAUCAAUGUACAAUAACAACUCUCUUAUCUCUGGAAGCAUUUGGUUGUCUCGAUGCAAAGUUCUGUACUACACCAUAUUCAGUUGGUUGUAUGGUUUAGUUGGUUCCUGUGCACAUCUUGUGAUGGUGAAUUCCUCAUGGACAAGAUCCCAUAUUGUAAAUAUUUGGAAAGUCCCAGAGCGUACUAAGAGGGUAUACCCUCCAUGCGAUACUUCCGCCCUGCAGAUGCUUCCCCUGGAAAGAUCAACUACACCUCCUGUUCUUAUAUCAGUUGCACAGUUCCGUCCUGAAAAGGCUCAUGGUCUUCAGUUGGAGGCAUUUGCACUUGCUCUUGAAAGGCUAGAUUCAGACUUUCUUAAGCCAAAACUUCAAUUUGCUGGCAGUUGCCGGAAUAAAGAGGAUCUGGAAAGAUUACAAAAGCUUAAGGACAGAUCUGUGGAGCUUCACAUAGAUGAGCUUGUAGAGUUCCACCAGGAUAUCUCUUACAGAGACCUGGUACAGCUUCUUGGUGGUGCAAUUUGUGGGCUCCAUUCAAUGACAGAUGAGCAUUUUGGAAUAAGUGUCGUCGAGUACAUGGCUGCUGGUGCUAUUCCAAUUGCCCAUAAAUCUGCAGGACCAAUGAUGGAUAUUGUGCUAGAGGAGGACAGCCGGGAGACAGGGUUUCUGGCCUCCAGGAAGGAAGAAUUUGCGGAGGCAAUCCUCAAGGUCUUGAGGAUGCCGGAGCCAGAGAGGCGAGAAAUGGCGGCAGCAGCACGGAAGCGUGCUCAAAGGUUUUCAGAGCAGAAGUUUCAUGAAGAUUUCACUAAAGCGGUUCGCCCAGUUUUAUUAGGACGCUCAUAG